AUCAAAGGAGUGUCGUCGCCUGAAUGGUAACGGAGACACAACGAACUCCCCCAACACCCCGCCUCCGGAUCACUGCCGCAUCGUUCUUUAUUCAGUUUUUUUUGUGGGUGUCACAUGCGAUAAUCUGUUGCAGUUUUAUUGUUGCAAAACUGCGUGUGCUUCAACAGUACAUGCGUCCUGCUGUGAGGCUCGCUGUUCUGAAAAAGGAUCACUGCACUCGAAACGUUAACUCUCCUAUCUCUCCACGGAUGCUGGCAGACCUGCUGAGCUCUUCCCAUCCAUUUCUGUUCUUGUCACCGUGAUUUCGACAGCGUCAAUUGGGUGUGAAGUUGCACAUAGGAAAUAUACUCAGCGCAAAAUAUGAUCGUGCAAAUCAUGCAUCGUGAUACGCAGGUUGAUAGGGAAAAGGUGGAAACAAUUAACCACACCACUUAGCAAAUGAUGUAUAAGGGCUGUUUUGCGGUGCAGUUGGUAAUGUUCCUACCCCUGGACCGAGAGACCCGGAUUCAAGUCUCACCUGCACCAGAGAAGGAAAGGGCCUGAAAAGCAAUGACAAAAAUCAACAAGCAAGCAUCAAUUGAAGGUAUGGCUAGGAACUGGUUUUCUUCAUUAAAUGUUUAGAAAUUCAGAAGGAAAUCUGAUUUGCA